AAGUUAAUGAGUUCAUUUGCAGUCUUAGAGCACAUUUGGCAGAAGAGCAACAAAUCAAUGGAGAAUAACUGUAAAAUGUGCCCCAGAGCCAAAAGGCACUCAUCAUUUCCCAGGAUUUUCUACAUGACGUGCUCGUUUUGUCCCUUUAGAACAGAGGUGGCUAUUGGAAAGCCAACGGUCAGCAGGAUUUUACUCCAACCAAAGACUCCACCCACUGAUUUGCACUCAACAAGUAGAGGGGAAGGACUCAUCAGUGAAAUCACCUGCUGAGGUUGCAGACUGUUGGCUUCCUCAUAGAACGUGGUUGCCCAUCCCAGCUUUAGAAUGUCACAUGUUGCUACUGCUUCUUAUUGGGCAUUACAUGUCAUGUGAUGUUUGACCAAAAUGUUUAUGUGACACAUGUGCUAGUCUUCAGUAAUCUGAGGUGUAUCAGCCACUGCAGGAAGUGGACAGAAAAAGCUCAUUUCCUAAUUCAUUUCCAGACUAAGAAGAUCAAACAGGGCUGAACCUACCUGCCAGGACAAACAGAUGGUUCCCAGGCUCUCCCUGCUUGAUGACGUACUCUCCCUGCUGUCCGUUCCUGGGUGUUGUAAACUGCCACAGUCCAGAUGAUCUGUGACGCUUCAUACCAAAGGGACCAGAGGCAAAGCAUUUUACCACUGGGAGCAGAAGCAUUCUACAAGAAGCUGACAGACGCACAGCCCUGACAUGUGAGUACCUUAUGGCUAACUUAUUGUAGUUAAAUUUUUGCUCUUUAGCUGCUGGAUUUUUACAAUCUUUUAAAAUCUAAAAAUGUUGCAGGUUUCUGUAGGUGGCGACAUUGUCUUUGUUCAGCAAUGACAGCUUCUGCUAGCCACCCUAACUACUGGGGUUUCCUUCUAUUUCUUCCAAAUGAAUCAUUGUUAAAUGCAUCACUUCUUGUGCAAGACAAUCUUUCUCAAGAAAAACGCUGUUUCAUUCCAUUGAGUUAAAAAACUAAAACCUUUUUUAAAUGGAAGCGAUGCACCAGACAGAUCUCGUGAUUGCUGGACGACCCGUGAUGUAGCAGCGAAAAAACCAAAUGUCCCAGACUCAGCUUGUGUCAAUUAAACGUUAGUGUGUUGCUGAAGCAAGAGGAAAUAUCCCCCCGUCAGCUCUCUGGGGUUUUCUUCAACGAGUUAGAGCCGACUGAACAAAGACCAUUUUCUCUCAUCCAUCUUCUCACAUACAUACACACACAUACACAUCCAGCGUGGUGUGUGUGUGUAGGAUGUAAUUGUGUGAAAAUGACUGAUGUCCUUUGCGUGCGUCUAUGCAAGCGAUGGUGUGACAAAGAAGGAUGAUGAGUGUGUGUGUGUGUGUAUUUAUUUAAUGCAUUUAUUGAAUAGCGUGCAGGUCAGCGUGCGACCUCUGUCCCUCUGGGUCUGCCUGGUCUUUGGGGCGACAGCCGUGAUUGAAAGACUCCAAACCCCUGAGGGCAGCGGCGAAGAAGCGCUCCCAGCUGAUUGAUCAGUUCGGUCGGUGCACUUCAAUGUCGGGAGGAUUUUACAGAACUCCCUGUCGCUCUCUGAUAAGAGCCAGAGCCAGUGACACACGACUCUGAUGUGGAUUAAAGGAGACCGACACUAUCGCCGCUGAGAGGCGAUAACAAGAAACGAAGCACAGUCCCAGUGUGUCAGUCAAACAGAGAACUCCUCCUUCUGAAAUCUUUACUUCAUCGUCCAAGUUUGCAACUGCUUGUAAACUGGAAUAUUUUCUACAUUCCUUUUGUUUAAAAUGUUAUUUCAGGCAAAUGAAUCAGCAACAGAUCAUUUAAAUCUCUUUCUUUCCUCACAGCAAAACAGGGUCGAAACAAACCAUAAAUGUUGGUUUUGUUGAUCCUCUGAUGAAAGUCAACAGCACUGUGGAUGCCUAGAGGAGACCCCCCUCACACACACACUCUAAAAGGAGAAGUCACAAGGGCAAGAACAUACCAGACUUCUUGGGAACUUUCCGUUUCAUGACCCCGACCUUUUGUCCGGGCAUAUUUGCAUUUCUGAGCUCCAAAAGAACAUCCCUCACAAACCUCAGGGAGCCAGAUACAUAUUGACGGUACACUCUGUCUCCAUACAAAACACACUUAUUCAACAUGUGACGUGUGAGGAGAGGCUAACCACUAACGUCUGGCAGCACACAAGCUCUGCGCUGGUUCAGAUUCGGGCAGGGCGGGCAACUCAAGAAGCAGCAGAGAACACUAUGUGAUCUGGCAGGCGACCAUGUUUUCUUUUCCCUCCCUCAUUCAAGAGAACACGUUUGAUGAAGAGGAAACCAAGACCCUGCUCAUAUCUUUACCCACUUAUAACUCGACCUCUGUGCUACACUGUUAUGCAACCCCCCCCCCCCGUCCAAGACCACUGCAGUGGCUGCUGAUGCCGUAAACACGAUGGGAACGCAGCUCCCAGACGAUAACAAGGCACGAGUGGCAGUCCUAUGGGGUUUUUUUUUUCUGCUUUUCCUUCAAGUUUGAUGAUGCAGUACGUGAAGAUAAAAGCGGUGUGAUAACCAUCUCAACUUUUUACCCAACUUUAAUCAGCUCAAAGUGUCUCUGCUGCAACAUGUGUCACCAACACUUUGUUCAGGGUGGUCCAGUGCUCAGAGUGCUUAUUCUGAAACUGAAAGGUCACUUUUGAUUCCUCCAGCAGCUGUCAAAUGGUCUUUAGCAAGACGCCAAACCCCCGAUUAUUCACUCUAAGUGGCUCUGGAUGUUAGCUGCAGCCACACGUAUGAAAUGUAAACUAAAGUCUGGAGUGCAGAUGCUCAAACUCUUGGGGUUUAUAUAAAUGUUGGCUACUGGAUGUGUCAGUACAAAAGAAAUAUUUGUCUUUUUUUUUGGCAAAUUGGACUCCACUGACUAGACUGAGACUUUAUCCAAAACUUGACCUGAUUUCUUAGUGGUGGUAGUUCUGCUAAAAUUUCAACCUUUAUUUAACAAGCCGCACUUUAAAUGUCAGCAUGUAAACUUAAUUUGCACUUCUCAGUCUGAUGGGAGCUGAACUAUAGGUGAACCAAGUGAAAAAGUUUAGAUUCAAAUAUUCAAAAUUCAGAAAAGAUCAUCUUCUAUGAAUAUAUACUACCAAAUGUGGUCCUACAGCUCAAUCAUAAGUAUCGUCCAGUGUGUGUUGCUGUGUUGUG